rnacentral:rRNA from 1 species
GACGAACGCUGGCGGCGUGCCUAAUACAUGCAAGUCGAGCGCAGGAAACUGACGGAACUCUUCGGAGGGAAGGCAGUGGAAUGAGCGGCGGACGGGUGAGUAACACGUAAGGAACCUGCCUCAAGGAUUGGGAUAACUCCGAGAAAUCGGAGCUAAUACCGGAUAGUUCAACGGACCGCAUGGUCCGCUGAUGAAAGGCGCUUCGGCGUCACCUUGAGAUGGCCUUGCGGUGCAUUAGCUAGUUGGUGGGGUAACGGCCCACCAAGGCGACGAUGCAUAGCCGACCUGAGAGGGUGAUCGGCCACACUGGGACUGAGACACGGCCCAGACUCCUACGGGAGGCAGCAGUAGGGAAUCUUCCACGAUGGACGAAAGUCUGAUGGAGCAACGCCGCGUGAGUGAUAAAGGUUUUCGGAUCGUAAAACUCUGUUGUAAGGGAAGAACACGUACGAGAGGAAAUGCUCGUACCUUGACGGUACCUUACGAGAAAGCCACGGCUAACUACGUGCCAGCCGCCGCCGUAACAC